GGGGCCGACCUGGUUUCGACGUGGGUGCGGAUCCGGAGUAGGGCAUGCCGAGCACCAGUUCGCUCGUAAAUCCACUGGAAACAAACCAACUGCGAACGACGAACGUUUCGCCCUCGCCGCUUAAACACCGGUGAGCCUCUCAACGGCAGGCCGAUGGGCCGGGUCCGCAAGGGCUGAGAGGUCAUUCACAUCGGCUGGUCCUGGGGCAGGCUUCUUGCCCCAAGACGAGACUCAAGAGGCUGGGGCCCGACGUAGCGUGCGCGAUGCGCGACCUGGGCCCGAGAUUCAAAUCAUCGCGCUAAGCAUGUAGAUCUGCCCGGCGAUGGCUUGCGGACGGGGGUUCAAUUCCCCCCGGCUCCACCA
rnacentral:tmRNA from 1 species